CCUCCGGGGGGCAGCAGUGGGGAAUCUUGCACAAUGGGUGCAAGCCUGAUGCAGCCAUGCCGCGUGUAUGAAGAAGGCCUUCGGGUUGUAAAGUACUUUCAGUCGUGAGGAAGGUGUUAAGGUUAAUAACCUUCGCCUUUUCCGUUAGCGACAGAAGAAGCCCCCGCUAACUCCGUCCCCUCUGCCCCGUUCUUUCUGAGUGUCCGAGCGUUUAUCGGAAUUACUGGUCGUAAAGGGCACGCAGGCGGUUAAUUAAGUUGGAUGUGAAAUCCCCGGGCUUAACCUGGGAAUGGCAUUCAAGACUGGUUAGCUAGAGUCUUGUAGAGGGGGGUAGAAUUCCAUGUGUAGCGGUGAAAUGCGUAGAGAUGUGGAGGAAUACCGGUGGCGAAGGCGGCCCCCUGGACAAAGACUGACGCUCAUGUGCGAAAGCGUGGGGAGCAAACAGGAUUAGAUACCCUAGUAGUG
rnacentral:rRNA from 1 species